rnacentral:sRNA from 1 species
GAAUAGAAGUAAUACCUAUAAAGCACUGAGAAAGGAGCCUGCACAAGGUUGGUACCUAGGUAGUAGCUGUUAUUUAUGCAAAUUGGAAAAGAAGGUUAGAGGUUUGAAUACAAAGUUAAGGUGGUGGUGAAAAUAGCAACCUGUAACUAAUAUUUUAUAACAUUCUUAGCAGCUCAGUAAUGCUGUUGACUGGUUGACUGGUGCUAAUUAGAAAUCUAGUUCGCAUCUGUUUUCUGUUGGUGGUGGCUGUUUUGUUUGUUGCUCUUUUUUUCCAGAUGACCCUGAUUUCAAGAAAGGCUGUCCUCCGUGGGGCACUUGAACAUGUAUUGUUAGUAAAUGCACUGGAAAUGGGUCUUGGUUUUGUUAACCAACCUGAUUUACAAAACUAGAGGAGAAGGCCAAGAAGGAAGCAGAGGAAAAGGCUCGUCUGGCCGCAGAGGAGCAGCAAAAGGAAAUGGAAGCCAAAAGCCAGGCUGAAGAAGGCGCAUCUGGCAAAGCUGAGAAAAAGACGUCUGGAGAAACUAAGAAUCAAGUCAAUGGAACACGGGCAAACAAAAGUGACAACCCUCGUGGGAAAAAUUCCAAAGCUGAGAAGUCAUCAGGAGAACAGCAACAGAAUGGUGACUUCAAAGAUGGUAAAAAUAAGACAGACAAGAAGGAUCACUCUAACAUCGGAAACGAUUCAAAGAAAACAGAUGAUUCACAAGAGUAAAAAAGACCUCAUAGACAAUAAAAGAGGCUGCCAAUGUCUUGCAUCAUUCUAGCUGAGCUUCUUCAUUCUCCUUCU